CUCCCCCUAUUUGCUAAAAAAAGCUAACCUCCUCCCCUUCCUCCACUAAAAAAGGAGCUAACCUCCUCUCCGUACCCACCUGCUCCUCACCUUCCUCUCAGUCUCCAUAAUCAUCUCCGCUCCACCCUCAGCACACCACCGUCUUGGUUGGUUUUCCAAUUAAACGUGGAUCAAGUUUCCCAUCCUGUUUAUCCUGGAGCAAGGAAAUUUUGGAUUUGAUUUCCAUGGUACCUGGUGGUGCCACCGGUGGCCAUGAUCUGGGGCGACGGCGAGGACAUCUUGAAAAGUGACCUAUCAAAGUUUGAGAUCCGGGCCAGAUUCGUGUCUGGUACGCCGUCCGCAACGUCGCCGUGAAGAUGGUGUGACAGUUGAAGCGCGGCCUUCGAGGUCUCGCUCCUCCUCCGCCACCAAAACAUCAUCACCAUACCUAUUGUAAUACUCCUCUUUUCUCAGUCCAACAUUUUCUCAGCCACCAUCUUCAUCGAUCAGAUCCACCAGAGUGGCCUGGCGAACGCGUCCAUGUUUCUCUGUUGGAUCCUCUGGUUCUUAGUUUAUUUAUUAUUUCAGUAUCUGCACUAGGAUUUUCGUCUAUGCUGUUGUGGAGCACGGAAGGCCCAAAAAUCCGCUUCUCCAUUCUAGGAGUUUCAGUUUUAGGGCAUGCCUCUUUAAUUUGUUUCGAUCAGUUCGCCAUGUGCAGGUUGUUGCUUCUAAGCUGACUGGUUUACAUAUAUGCGACCAUGGAUAUCUUUGUUAAUUCAUGAAGAAUAUCAGCAUCCUCUUUUUCUAACAAAUUGUUUCUUGUGAUGCAUUAGAUUUUUUUUAUUUCUUGUUGCUAUGCAGGUGAGUAAUCAAUCAGUAUUUUCAAGUGAAGUUGAUCAUCACAGAACCGUUCAAUUAGGUACCAAUAUUGUCUUAGAUUUAUCCUAGCUAGGACCAUGUCAUCAAAGAGCUUUCCAUCGCAUAUCAAUAGGUCAACACUAUUAACAUCACCUUAUUAGUGUUAUGGAUGCUCACUAAUUUCGCUGACACACUUUGUACUAAAGGAAUGAGCCCCACAUACACAUGUUAUCUUGUCCUCUAGGUUCUGUAUGUUUCCUGUGUCGUCCCAGUUCUCACCUAUUUGGUGUUCGUAUCAUCAGUAGGCAAUUACACCAAUACCAUCCAUCUGGUUACACUUCCAGCCCUCCACCAUGACAGGUUUUUUGUGUUAGAAUUUGGUUUAGGUGUCAACGUGCAGGUCAGGGACGAUAGCUCCUUGAUGGGCAGUAGCGGUGUUAGGUGCGGCUCCCUGAUCUGCGACAGUGGCUCGGCUGCUCUGUGCUGAAUAUCAUGCAAGAUGCAAUAGUUAGAAGUUGUACUGAUAUAUGGUGUACUUGCAGCUACUGAUUUAGUGCUGUUAACUGUUUCGCAAAGGAGGUAAAGUUCUGCAUGUACGGGUACUAGGCAAAUCAAAAUGAUUAACUUCCUGGAUCUUUUUUCUGCAAUUCCCAUCUCAUUUAGCAAUGUACUUGAAACUGAUUGCAGAGUAUUCUACUUUGCACCAAUUUUUUGGUUCAAACAACACUAAUUGUUACUGAAAAAAGCAGUUUGCAAAUUAGGAUAGUAAUCAUUUACAUGAAAUAUUGAACCAUGUCCCUUGACAAUGUUUGUUUAUUUCUUAAAUAUAUUUUCAGCAUACUAACAUCACUUUCUCAUUAUUUCAGACUAACUCAGAGUUCAUAUUCAGUAUACAAUAAAUUAGAAAAUGAGAUGAACAAUUUGGGCUUGCGACCGGUGUAUGAAUAAUGAUGUAUUGACGACUCACAACCAGUCUACAUUGUGUUUUGUUACAGAAACUGGAUAUAUAAUCUGCGUACAGAGCUACUAUGGUGCCCCUCGUUUAUAUUUUUACUCCUCUAUUAAACUGAUUUUUUUAUUGUAAUUUACUCACCUCAUUUUGUUGUUGUUGUGGAUUGCAAGAUAAGUUGACGAUUCGCGGCCAAGAUGUUGAUUGCAAGGUCAAGAAAGAGGCUACUACUAGAUAAUUAGAAUGUCAUUUCCAGGGCCAAUGUUUCAAACCUUGUUGUAGAUUGCAAGUUCUAAAAUUGGGUUACUACUAGAUAGUUUUACAUUUUUUAAUCUUUGGAUCACGAUCUUUGUAUGGCAACACAAUCGAUUUAAUAUAUGAGUCUUUCUGUUUAUUAUAUUGUGGCUCCUAUUCA